UUUUCACCAUUCAAACCUUCAUUUUCUACUUUCCUAAGGCUUGCUGUUGAGCAGCAAUGUUGUUUCUUUCCUUCCUGACAAAGAGCUCAACAUUUCUACUUAACAGACUUAGCCUAAGAGGUAUCCUUCCUACUUUGUAAUGCUAAUACUCCCAACCUGUGUUUUUGGGACCAGGUUCCAUCCACGACUUACCUACCUACCUAAGUAACAACUACCUGCUUUUACUUCCUUAGUUGGCUCAUUCAAUUAAACAGAAAAUAAACAGUAUUUGGCAUUAUUUAAAACUUCUCUAAAGAUCAAUGACCACCAACAGUUAAUUCUGGUAGAGUCUUUAUCUUACUCUUAAUUGAUCUCUCAAUGGCAUUUGGCAUGACCAUUGACACUUUACCAUUCUCCCUCCUCUGGCUUCCAUAAUGCUCUGUACACUCACCCCCUUCCUAGUUCUCACCUGACUCUUCCUUCCCAAGUCAUCUUUGCUGGUUUCUUCUGCAUACUAACUGUUGGUGUUCCUCAAGACUUUCGCCUUGGCUGUAUUUUCCCAUGUCCUUUCUGGGCAUGCUGUCAUUUUCCUCAAACUAAGUUAAAAAUGGCUAACUCUCAGACUUGUACAUUAAAGACUGAUUUUGCUUCUUCCUUCAGUUCCAGUAAAAUGUAAUAAACGCUAACUAUACCCCAGAUCCUGAGCUAAAUGCUUUGGAGAUAAGGCAGGCCACUUGCCCUCAAGAAAUUUAAAAUCCAGAACUGUAGUUUCAGAGUCUCACAUAAAGUACUGAUCACUAAUUAGGCUUUAGCCCUGGGAUGCAAGGUUGCUUCAACAUUUGAAAACCAAAAAUGGAAUUGAUCACAUAAACAGAACUAAAGGCAAAAACCACAUGAUUAUCUCAACAGAUGCAGAAAAUGCAUUCAAUAAAAUUUAACACCACUUUCAUGUUAAAAAACUCUCAAUAAACUAGGCAUUGAAGGAACAUACCACAAAAUAAUAAGAACCAUCUAUGAUAAACCCACAGCCAACAUCAUACUCAAUGGUCAAAGGCCGGAAGCAUUCCACUUGAAAACUGGCACAAGACAAGGAUCUCCUCUCUCACCACUCCUGUAUUAGAGUAUUAGAUAGUAUAGUAUUAGAAGUCCUCGCCAGAGCAAUCAGGCAAGAGAAAGAAAGAAAGGGCAUCCAAACAGGAAGAGAGGAAGUCAAACUAUUCCUGUUUGCAGACAUGAUCCGAUAUCUAGAAAACUCCACAGUCCGGGCCCAAAAGCUCCUUAAGCUGAUAAACAACUUUGACAUACUCUCAGGAUACAAAAUCAAUGUAGAAGAGUCACUAGCAUUCCUAUACAUCAACAAGCCGAAAGCCAAAUCAGGACACAAUCCCAUUCACAACUGCCACAAAAAUAAUACAAUAUCUAGAAAUACAGCUAACCAGGGAGGUGAAAGAUUGCUACAAAGAGAACUACAAAACACUGCCCAAAGAAAUGAUUGCCCAAAGAGAUGAUUGGGCUGGGCGCAGUGGCUCACAACUGUAAUCUCAGCACUUUGGGAGGCCAAGGCAAGCAGAUCACCUGAGGUUGGGAGUUCGAGACCAGCCUGACCAACAUGGAGAAACCCCGUCUCUACUAAAAAUACAAAAUUAGCUGGGCAUGGUGGUGCAUGCCUGUAAUCCC
rnacentral:lncRNA from 1 species